GACGAACGCUGGCGGCGUGCCUAACACAUGCAAGUCAAGGGGAAAGGGGUAGCAAUAUCCCGAGUACACUGGCGCACGGGUGAGUAACGCGUAGGCAACCUGCCUUCAGGACGGGGAUAAUUCAGCGAAAGCUGGACUAAUACCCGAUGACAUUCCGCUGCAGCAUUGUAGCGGAAUCAAAAGCCCGCAAGGGUGCCCGGAGAUGGGCCUGCGUCCCAUUAGGUAGUUGGUGAGGUAACGGCUCACCAAGCCAACGAUGGGUAGCUGGUCUGAGAGGAUGAUCAGCCACACUGGAACUGAGACACGGUCCAGACUCCUACGGGAGGCAG
rnacentral:rRNA from 1 species